rnacentral:rRNA from 1 species
GACGAACGCUGGCGGCGUGCUUAACACAUGCAAGUCGAACGGAAAGGCCCUGCUUUUGUGGGGUGCUCGGGUGGCGAACGGGUGAGUAACACGUGAGUAACCUGCCCUUGACUUUGGGAUAACUUCAGGAAACUGGGGCUAAUACCGGAUAGGAGCUCCUGCUGCAUGGUGGGGGUUGGAAAGUUUCGGCGGUUGGGGAUGGACUCGCGGCUUAUCAGCUUGUUGGUGGGGUAGUGGCUUACCAAGGCUUUGACGGGUAGCCGGCCUGAGAGGGUGACCGGCCACAUUGGGACUGAGAUACGGCCCAGACUCCUACGGGAGGCAGCAGUGGGGAAUAUUGCACAAUGGGCGGAAGCCUGAUGCAGCAACGCCGCGUGCGGGAUGACGGCCUUCGGGUUGUAAACCGCUUUCGCCUGGGACGAAGCGUGAGUGACGGUAAUGGGUAAAGAAGCACCGGCUAACUACGUG